rnacentral:rRNA from 1 species
CGCGUAGGCGGGGUCGGAAGUCGGGUGUGAAAGCCCCGGGCUCAACCCGGGAACGGCGCUCGAGACUCCGGCUCUUGAGUCCCGGAGAGGCGGGUGGAAUUCCUGGUGUAGCGGUGAAAUGUGUAGAGAUCAGGAGGAACACCGGUGGCGCAGGCGGCCCGCUGGACGGAGACUGACGCUGAGGCGCGAAAGCGUGGGGAGCAAACGGGAUUAGAUACCCCGGUAGUCCACGCGGUAAACGAUGGGGGCUAGGUGUGGGGGGUAUCGACCCCCUCCGUGCCGAAGCUAACGCAUUAAGCCCCCCGCCUGGGGAGUACGGCCGCAAGGUUGAA